UACGUAGGGACCGAGCGUUGUCCGGAAUCAUUGGGCGUAAAGAGCGUGUAGGCGGCUAUUUAAGUCCUGCGUGAAAUCCUGCGGCUCAACCGCAGACGGUCGUGGGAAACUGGAUGGCUAGAGUGCGGGAGAGGAGAGUGGAAUUCCCGGUGUAGCGGUGAAAUGCGCAGAUAUCGGGAGGAACACCAGUAGCGAAGGCGGCACUCUGGGCCGUGACUGACGCUGAGGAGCGAAAGCGUGGGUAGCAAACAGG
rnacentral:rRNA from 1 species